UACGUAGGGGGCUAGCGUUGUCCGGAAUCAUUGGGCGUAAAGCGCGUGUAGGCGGUCCGGUAAGUCCGCUGUGAAAGUCGAGGGCUCAACCCUCGAAUGCCGGUGGAUACUGUCGGGCUAGAGUGCGGAAGAGGCGAGUGGAAUUCCUGGUGUAGCGGUGAAAUGCGCAGAUAUCAGGAGGAACACCUAUUGCGAAGGCAGCUCGCUGGGACGUUACUGACGCUGAGACACGAAAGCGUGGGUAGCAAACAGG
rnacentral:rRNA from 1 species